GGCCUUAGGUCCCAAAACAGCCAUGCCAGUGAUAGAAUUUGAUGCAUACUAGAAUGGAUUUACUUGUAAGAGAAGGGGAGGAAGGGGGAGGUGGAGACAGACAGAGAGAGAGAGAAGAAAAUAAAUGUUGAGCAUACAAAUGAAUUUCAACAUUCACGUUCCAAAAACAUCACAUAGUCCGCGGAGAUAAAAAUACACAAAGAAUUAUGUAACAUAAGUUUGACACAUAUUAAAUUCCUGAAAUUCAACUGUGUGACAUAUAAAAAGGGCAGCUUCACAUGGUUCAACACAGUGCAAUAGUAAAAUAAGCAGACGUUGUUCAAUCUGAGGAAGCUGAUUGUCCCCCACUCCCCCAAAAAUAAAAGAAACAAGCAGAUGUUACACAAAG
rnacentral:lncRNA from 1 species